GAUGAACGCUGGCGGCAUGCCUAAUACAUGCAAGUCGAACGAGAGGAAGGAAAGCUUGCUUUUCUGAAUCUAGUGGCGAACGGGUGAGUAACACGCAGGUAACCUGCCCAUGUGCCCGGGAUAACUUCUGGAAACGGAUGCUAAAACCGGAUAGGUAGCAGACAAGCAUUUGACUGCUAUUAAAGUGGCUAAGGCCAUGAACAUGGAUGGACCUGCGGUGCAUUAGCUAGUUGGUGAGGUAACGGCCCACCAAGGCGCCGAUGGAUAGCCGGCCUGAGAGGGCGGACGGCCACAUUGGGACUGAGACACGGCCCAAACUCCUACGGGAGGCAGCAGUAGGGAAGUUUCGUCAAUGGGGGGAACCCUGAACGAGCAAUGCCGCGUGAGUGAGGAAGGUCUUCGGAUCGUAAAGCUCUGUUGUAAGAGAAAAACGACAUUCAUAGGGAAUGAUGAGUGAGUGAUGGUAUCUUACCAGAAAGUCACGGCUAACUACGUGCCAGCCGCCGCCGUAAGAC
rnacentral:rRNA from 1 species